rnacentral:rRNA from 1 species
UACGGGGGGGGCAAGCGUUGUUCGGAAUUACUGGGCGUAAAGGGCUCGUAGGUGGCCAACUAAGCCAGACGUGAAAUCCCUCGGCUUAACCGGGGAACUGCGUCUGAUACUGGAUGGCUUGAGUUUGGGAGAGGGACGCGGAAUUCCAGGUGUAGCGGUGAAAUGCGUAGAUAUCUGGAGGAACACCGGUGGCGAAGGCGGCGUCCUGGACCAAUACUGACACUGAGGAGCGAAAGCCAGGGGAGCAAACGGG